CUUGUAGAUCUCCCUGUUGGCUCUCCGUUCUUCCUCGCUUGUGCUCCCUUCCAUCUUAGUAAACGCCGCCUUCUUCACCUCUACUUUUCCUUGGACUACAUCGUUCCACCACCAGUCACCCUGAUGUCUGCCUGAAUAGACCUUUGCUACCCCGAGCACAUCCCAUGCUACCUCCCUAACCAAGUUCGCCGUCUCUGUCCACAUAGUAUCCGCUUCCUCAGAACUUCUCCAAGCUCCGCCCUCAGCUAACCUCCUCUCCAACUCCUGUGCUUUCUCCUAAUUCAAAAUACCCCAUCUAAUCCGCGGUUGACCCCGAGCACCCCUCCUCUUCCUCUUCACCCAGAGACCGACAUCCAUCACUAGGAGUCUAUGAAGAGUUGAAAGAGACUCUCCCGGAAUAACCUUGC
rnacentral:lncRNA from 1 species